UGGGGAAUAUUGGACAAUGGGCGCAAGCCUGAUCCAGCCAUGCCGCGUGAGUGAUGAAGGCCUUAGGGUUGUAAAGCUCUUUCGCCGGUGAAGAUAAUGACGGUAACCGGAGAAGAAGCCCCGGCUAACUUCGUGCCAGCAGCCGCGGUAAUACGAAGGGGGCUAGCGUUGCUCGGAAUCACUGGGCGUAAAGCGCACGUAGGCGGAUCGUUAAGUCGGGGGUGAAAUCCUGGAGCUCAACUCCAGAACUGCCCUUGAUACUGGCGAUCUCGAGUUCGAGAGAGGUUGGUGGAACUCCGAGUGUAGAGGUGAAAUUCGUAGAUAUUCGGAAGAACACCAGUGGCGAAGGCGGCCAACUGGCUCGAUACUGACGCUGAGGUGCGAAAGCGUGGGGAGCAAACAGGAUUAGAUACCCCUGGUAGUCCACGCCGUAAACGAUGGAUGCUAGCCGUUGGGGGGUUU
rnacentral:rRNA from 1 species